rnacentral:lncRNA from 1 species
GAGUUAGUACCCUCCAGUCACAAGAAGCGUGGGAAAGAUGUGCAGCACCCUUAUCACGACCCAUGAAGCAUAUUUCGGUACCCAUUGGUUUGUCACAGCAUAGGUGGGUGGAAUUCACUUCACAGAUGAGGCAUGCCAGACGAGAUCAGAAUCUGCAAACUGUGAUGUGAGACUGAGAGUGUAAAAGAACCACACUUGGAUAUCCUCUCAAAUAUGCAUUCUAAGACUGAUGUCAGUAAGGUAGUUACCACUGGCUUGCUAAGUCAUGGACCUCUUAUUUCCAGGGCCUUG